rnacentral:tRNA from 1 species
GUGAAUAUAGUUUAACAAAAACAUUAGAUUGUGAAUCUAAAAACAGAAGUUGAUAUCUUCUUAUUUACC